GGGGCUGUAGCUCAGUGGCAGAGUGCUUGCCUAGCAUGAGUGAGGCACUCAGCUCAAUCCAUAGCAGCAUACAAAAAUAAACAAAUGAAAUAAAGGCAUUCUAUCAAUUUAUAUCUACAAAAACAUUUUUUAAAAAAUCUCAGUUUGGGGCUGGGGCUCUGGAUCAGUGGUGGAGCAAUCACCUAGCACGUGUGAGACCCUGGGUUCGAUCCUCAGCACCACA
rnacentral:tRNA from 1 species